GUAGGGGGCUAGCGUUGUCCGGAAUCAUUGGGCGUAAAGAGCGUGUAGGCGGUCCGGUAAGUCCGCUGUGAAAGUCGGGGGCUCAACCCUCGAAUGCCGGUGGAUACUGUCGGGCUAGAGUGCGGAAGAGGAGAGUGGAAUUCCUGGUGUAGCGGUGAAAUGCGCAGAUAUCAGGAGGAACACCGGUGGCGAAGGCGGGUCUCUGGGCCGUAACUGACGCUGAGGAGCGAAAGCAUGGGGAGCGAACAGG
rnacentral:rRNA from 1 species